UUUGGUUACAUCAACUUGUCAAUACAAAUCGAUAAAAUCGUUUUAUUUUUAGGUUAUAAAGUGUUUAUAAGCAAUGAGGAAAGUUUAAAAAUCAUAAGAUGUGAUGUUUAUGGUGGACAAAUUCCGUGGAAAGGAUUAAUUCAUUUAAAAAUUGCGAUACCUUUUAGUUUUGUGGUAAUACGAUAAUAAAACUGUAAAGAAGGAUUCACUCUACCACUCCAAUUGAAGAAAUUUAUGACACCGUUUUAGUUUCCGAUUUGAUGGAAAAUGUGUAUAUAUUAAGCUUUUACUCCAUAUCCUGAUGCUUAUAGUGCUUUAGAAACUUUAUUAUCAUCAGUAAUAAUUUCUAUGGCCUUAUAAGAUGGAUGAUUUGCAACUGGAUAUGAUAUAAUUAUGAUUUGAAGAACUUUAUCGGGAAUAUAAAUGGGAGAUUAUUGAUGGUGAGAGAUUUAAAAGCAAAAAAAUUUUAGUUGAGAAUGGAAAGAACUUCAUAGAGACCAACCUAAAACUAUAAAACAAAAACAAUAAUUAUUUCUAAUUGAAAAUGUUUUAUUGAAAACAAAACAAUUCAAUUCCUUUUAAAAGUAUUUGUCUUAGAGAAAUUGUAAAAGAAUUUCCGUCGUGUCACUUGCAUCUCUAAAAGGUAUAGAAUGUAACUUAAAGUAUACAUCUCGGAAGAUAAACCAACAAACACCUCUGCUUUCGAGUGAAUAUAUAUAUUUUUCAGACAGGUGAAUUUACAUACAAGAUUGAAUUUCACAAUUUCCAUUGCCAAUCAACUAAAAAGGAUUUUUAUGCAACAAAAUUUCAAAUUAUUUAGUUUGAAAUAACUGAUAAUUCGGUUUGUUUCCCCUUCGUUUCUUUUUCCGUCGUUAGCCGUCAAUGAGAAAGUCUGGAGGGGGCUGCAACCUCAUUAUUCACAAACUCGUCUUGGCAACGUUACACAAUGCGAAAACGUUAUAUUGUGUCGUGAUAAUAUAUUGCUGAGUGUCACCACAAACCGGAAAACUUCUCACGGUUUUUUUUUGAUCCUACAAAAAAAAACUACACAAAAUUAAAAUAAUCCAACUCAAAUAUUUGUUACACCGAGCGGAUUACAAGCGAGAUUACAACCGAGCGGAAGAUGAAUAAAUUAUUAAAUUUAAUUGAAAAGAUUUAUUAAAUAAAUAUUGAUUUCGAAUAAUUAUCGCUUCCCUUCACGACCAAUUAAACGGAUUAAUUAUAAUCAAAAUUGAAAUAAGUACUUAUGUAUUAAAUGAAUGGGCUAAUACGUAGAAUUAUUUAUUUAUUACAAAAUACACUCUGUUAUUGAUUAAUUUUAUUAAAUAUUGAAUCAAAUGAAAAUACUGUUUGAGGCAACCUCAAAAUUGUAUUUUGACGUUAAAUGGAAAACAACCCCGUUUCCAUGACAACAAAAUGACAUAAGAAUUAACCAGUUUUAUUAAUUUUUAUUUGAAAACA